ACUAAAUUCAUACAUACUGCAAUACAGUAAGUCAGAGUAUUUAAUUUAAUUUACAAUAACCAGUGGGCCCUCGAAUAACCAAAAGUAAGGAAGACUAUGAACCUACAGUUUGGAGGAUGCAAAUCCAAUGGUAGCCUCAAUGAAAUCAACUAUCUACAGCCUAUUCUGAGCCUGAAAUGGGUGGAAAUGAGGGUGGUGAGAUUAUAUAAUCCUAGUGAGUAAACAAAUACCAUCUAACAUAUCUAAAGCUGAGUAAAUAGAGACAGAUAAAAUAGUUUAACAUACUAUAAUUCAUCACCUUUCAACUCAUUUCAACCAAAUAAAAUCAAUUCAUAUAAAUCAAGUAAUCAACAUGGCUUAUGAAUUUCUUAAAACUUUGGCUCAUGUCAAAAUCAUUCUCAUACUCAGUUAUCAAGGAUACCUUGACCGAGGGCUAUCCCAACCGAGUCCGCCAAGGCUGUUAAAAAGUUAUGUACGCAUAAAUCAUGUUUUUAUUUUGUAAACAUAGCCAUUUCUUGGCGUUGGAUGAGUUCACCCUCACGUGAUGGUUUGGCAUGAAGUGAACUCUAAAGUGUUAACCUCAGGAGUUAUCCAACCGCGCCUCUCAUACUGAGGUAUGAAUAUAAUAGGGUUACCGUGCCCCUCAAAUAGGCUGGUCGAUAAAACCCGUCCACUGUAGCGACCAAUAUAUAACCCACCAAUUCAAUAAAAUUCAAUAGCAUGACAUGGCAAUUAUUUUAUUUUACAGCCUCUCAAGACAAAUUAACAUUUCAUACUUUUGCAGCACAUUUAUCAAAUCAACCAUUCAUGCCAAUAUUAUCAUAAGCCAUUCAAUUCAAACCAUGAUUUAUAACACAACAAUUAGUCUCCAAUUACUCCAUUUUCAAAAUCAUCUUUCAAUUUCAAGACAAUUUUAUAAAAUCAUUUUCAUUUAAUCACAUUUUUGCUUAUAAAACAUAAAGAUUUGCCAUUUAAACUCAUUUUCCAUAAAAUCACAAAAUCGGAUAAAACCACUUCAGAUAAUUAAGACGAUAGUAAGGUUACUCACUAUUUCGAGAGUCAAAUUCCAAGUACUCCGAUUCUUGAUCCUCGGGUACUGUCUCUUUACUUUUGUCAGAAUGCUCACCACCUAGACAUAAUGCACAAUAAGCCAUUUACUACAUUUGUGCUAAAUUGUUAUAAAACCAAUUCAGGCUUUAUACUAAUGCAUGAAAUGGGAUGCAAAUUGUUCGGAUUAUCGUCUAAACACGGUGUUCUACACAAAUUCAAUUGUGUACCUAAAUAAAACGGUAUUGGCCUAAUUCGAUCUAUCACUCGAUUAAUUGGCCAAUAUGUCCAAUUUAACUUCAAAUAAUUCCAUUUUUCUCCCAAUACACCAAAUCAUCAAACACAAAUUAAAUAACUUGAAAUAUGGCAAAAUCAUCCUCACAUUUUCUCUUGGAAAAUUCAGCCAUGGUGGGUGCAUCAACAUUAUAAUGUUUCAAGCUUGAUUCUCACACCAUAAAUCACUAAUUCCUAACCAAAUCACUUGAAAUAAAAUCAAAAUCAUCAUCAAUAUUCCACAUGGAGAAUUCGGCCAAUGAUGGGUGAUGGGAGAACAUGAAUUUUUCUUUCUUGAUUUUCAUGCUACACAUCACCAAUCAACUAAAAACACUAAAAUUCAUUGAAAUCUAACCAAAACAACCAUCAAAAUCUCUCUUUAAGUGUUCGGCCAACAAGAGACCCAUCAUGAAAUCAUGUGAUUCAACCAUGGAAAAUAAGAAAAAAUGCUUAAGAAAGAGAUAUCUCAAGCUUAAUUGAAAAAUCUUACAUUUUUUUCACUUAUUUCCUUGAAUUUUUUCAACUAGGGUUUUUGUUCUUCUUU
rnacentral:lncRNA from 1 species